GCAGUCGAACGGUAACAGGCCGCAAGGUGCUGACGAGUGGCGAACGGGUGAGUAAUGCAUCGGAACGUGCCCAGUCGUGGGGGAUAACGCAGCGAAAGCUGCGCUAAUACCGCAUACGAUCUAUGGAUGAAAGCGGGGGACCGUAAGGCCUCGCGCGAUUGGAGCGGCCGAUGUCAGAUUAGGUAGUUGGUGGGGUAAAGGCUCACCAAGCCGACGAUCUGUAGCUGGUCUGAGAGGACGACCAGCCACACUGGAACUGAGACACGGUCCAGACUCCUACGGGAGGCAGCAGUGGGGAAUUUUGGACAAUGGGCGCAAGCCUGAUCCAGCAAUGCCGCGUGCAGGAAGAAGGCCUUCGGGUUGUAAACUGCUUUUGUACGGAACGAAACGGUCCUGGUUAAUACCUGGGGCUAAUGACGGUACCGUAAGAAUAAGCACCGGCUAACUACGUGCCAGCAGCCGCGGUAAUACGUAGGGUGCGAGCGUUAAUCGGAAUUACUGGGCGUAAAGCGUGCGCAGGCGGUGAUGUAAGACAGUCGUGAAAUCCCCGGGCUCAACCUGGGAAUUGCGAUUGUGACUGCAUCGCUGGAGUGCGGCAGAGGGGGAUGGAAUUCCGCGUGUAGC
rnacentral:rRNA from 1 species